rnacentral:rRNA from 1 species
UACGAAGGGGGCUAGCGUUGUUCGGAAUUACUGGGCGUAAAGCGCGCGCAGGCGGUUCUUCAAGUCAGUGGUGAAAGCCCGGAGCUCAACUCCGGAACUGCCAUUGAAACUGUGGAACUUGAGGAUGAGAGAGGUGAGUGGAAUUCCCAGUGUAGAGGUGAAAUUCGUAGAUAUUGGGAAGAACACCGGUGGCGAAGGCGGCGACCUGGUCCGAUACUGACGCUGAGGCGCGAAAGCGUGGGGAGCAAACAGG